UACAGAGGGUGCAAGCGUUAAUCGGAAUUACUGGGCGUAAAGCGUGCGUAGACGGUUACAUAAGUCGGGUGUGAAAGCCCCCGGGCUCAACCUGGGAAUUGCAUUCGAGACUGCGUAGCUAGGGUGCGGAAGAGGGAAGCGGAAUUUCCGGUGUAGCGGUGAAAUGCGUAGAUAUCGGAAGGAACACCAGUGGCGAAAGCGGCUUCCUGGUCCAGCACCCGACGUUCAGGCACGAAAGCGUGGG
rnacentral:rRNA from 1 species